AAUAGAUACCCCGGUAGUCCACGCCGUAAACGAUGAGUGCUAAGUGUUGGGGGGUUUCCGCCCCUCAGUGCUGCAGCUAACGCAUUAAGCACUCCGCCUGGGGAGUACGGUCGCAAGACUGAAACUCAAAGGAAUUGACGGGGGCCCGCACAAGCGGUGGAGCAUGUGGUUUAAUUCGAAGCAACGCGAAGAACCUUACCAGGUCUUGACAUCCCGGUGACCACUAUGGAGACAUAGUUUCCCCUUCGGGGGCAACGGUGACAGGUGGUGCAUGGUUGUCGUCAGCUCGUGUCGUGAGAUGUUGGGUUAAGUCCCGCAACGAGCGCAACCCUUAUUCUUAGUUGCCAUCAUUCAGUUGGGCACUCUAAGGAGACUGCCGGUGAUAAACCGGAGGAAGGUGGGGAUGACGUCAAAUCAUCAUGCCCCUUAUGACCUGGGCUACACACGUGCUACAAUGGACGGUACAGACGGUUGCCAACCCGCGAGGGGGAGCUAAUCCGAUAAAACCGUUCUCAGUUCGGAUUGUAGGCUGCAACUCGCCUAC
rnacentral:rRNA from 1 species